CCCUUAGAUGUUCUGGGCUGCACGCGCGCUACACUGACGCACCCAACGGGUUUACGACCUUGCCUGGAAAGGUUGGGCAAUCCUACAAAAAUGCGUCGUGAUGGGGAUAGAUUAUUGCAAUUAUUAAUCUUCAACGAGGAAUUCCUAGUAAGCGCGAGUCAUCAGCUCGUGCUGAUUACGUCCCUGCCCUUUGUACACACCGCCCGUCGCUCCUACCAAUUGAGUGAUCCGGUGAAUAAUUCGGACUGCUGCAAUGCUUGGAUCCCGAGAAUUGCGGCGGAAAAGUUUAGUGAACCUUAUCACUUAGAGGAAGGAGAAGUCGUAACA
rnacentral:rRNA from 1 species